rnacentral:rRNA from 1 species
UACCUUGGUGUUUUUAGCAUAGUGGAACCACACUGACCCAUUUCGAACUCAGUUGUGAAACAUUAUAGCGGCGACAAUACUUGGGGGGACACCCCCUGGGAAGAUAGCUCAAUGCCAAGGUU